CCUUACGGCUCAGUAACACGUGGAUAACCUGCCCUUGGGUCCGGCAUAACCCCGGGAAACUGGGGAUAAUUCCGGAUAACGCACAUAUGCUGGAAUGCUUUAUGCGUCAAAUGGAUUCGUCCGCCCAAGGAUGGGUCUGCGGCCUAUCAGGUAGUAGUGGGUGUAAUGUACCUACUAGCCUACAACGGGUACGGGUUGUGAGAGCAAGAGCCCGGAGAUGGAUUCUGAGACAUGAAUCCAGGCCCCACGGGGCGCAGCAGGCGCGAAAACUUUACAAUGCGGGAAACCGUGAUAAGGGGACACCGAGUGCUAGCAUCAUAUGCUGGCUGUCCAGGUGUGUAAAAUACACCUGUUAGCAAGGGCCGGGCAAGACCGGUGCCAGCCGCCGCGGUAACACCGGCGGCCCGAGUGGUGAUCGUGAUUAUUGGGUCUAAAGGGUCCGUAGCCGGUUUGGUCAGUCCUCCGGGAAAUCUGAUAGCUCAACUAUUAGGCUUUCGGGGGAUACUGCCAGGCUUGGAACCGGGAGAGGUAAGAGGUACUACAGGGGUAGGAGUGAAAUCUUGUAAUCCCUGUGGGACCACCUGUGGCGAAGGCGUCUUACCAGAACGGGUUCGACGGUGAGGGACGAAAGCUGGGGGCACGAACCGGAUUAGAUACCCGGGUAGUCCCAGCCGUAAACGAUGCUCGCUAGGUGUCAGGCAUGGCGCGACCGUGUCUGGUGCCGCAGGGAAGCCGUGAAGCGAGCCACCUGGGAAGUACGGCCGCAAGGCUGAAACUUAAAGGAAUUGGCGGGGGAGCAC
rnacentral:rRNA from 1 species